CCUACGGGAGGCAGCAGUGGGGAAUAUUGCACAAUGGGGGAAACCCUGAUGCAGCGACGCCGCGUGAGCGAAGAAGUAUUUCGGUAUGUAAAGCUCUAUCAGCAGGGAAGAAAAUGACGGUACCUGACUAAGAAGCCCCGGCUAACUACGUGCCAGCAGCCGCGGUAAUACGUAGGGGGCAAGCGUUAUCCGGAUUUACUGGGUGUAAAGGGAGCGUAGACGGCAGAGCAAGUCUGAAGUGAAAGCCCGGGGCCCAACCCCGGGACUGCUUUGGAAACUGCCCGGCUAGAGUGCUGGAGAGGUAAGCGGAAUUCCUAGUGUAGCGGUGAAAUGCGUAGAUAUUAGGAGGAACACCAGUGGCGAAGGCGGCUUACUGGACAGUAACUGACGUUGAGGCUCGAAAGCGUGGGGAGCAAACAGGAUUAGAUACCCUAGUAGUC
rnacentral:rRNA from 1 species